rnacentral:misc_RNA from 1 species
GAUGAAGAACGUAGCGAAAUGCGAUAAGUAAUGCGAAUUGCAGAAUUUCCGUGAGUCAUCGAAUCUUUGAACGCACAUUGCGCCCACUGGUAUUCCGGUGGGCAUGCCUGUUCGAGCGUCAUUAUCCUCCCUCAAACCCCGGGUUUGGUGUUGGACCCAAGUUGUGUGAACAACUGGUCUUAAAGACAAUGACGGCGUCCGUGGGACCCUCGGUGCAACGAGCUUUUAGGAGCACGCAUCGAGUUGCAAGGACCUUCCGGGCCGGUCUCCUUUACUAUUUUACAAGGUUGACCUCGGAUCAGGUAGGAAUACCCGCUGAACUUAAGCAUACAAUAAGCGGAGGA